AUACCCACUAAGGAAUUAUCAUAAUUGUAGUGAAAGAAAUUUACCAACACACCUAUGAGUCCACAACGGCACCACAAUGCCUCAAAUACGUAACAGAGCAUACACAAUGCUCGGGUGAUGUACAAAGGCAUAUACAAUGCCCCAACAUCAUGGCGCACAACCGUAUCAAACUCGACAUUAUGGCGCACAGCCGUAUCAAACUCAACAUCAUGGCGCACAGCCGUAUCAAACUCAACACCAUGGCGCGCAGCCGUAUCAAACUCAAUAUCAUGGCGCACAACCGUAUCAAACUCAACACCAUGGCUCACAACCGAAUCAAACUAUAAGACUCAACCUCAUGGUGCACAGCCAUAUCACACUAUCAAACAACUUAUAAAAUAAUAUUUUUUUCAUAAAAUAAUAUAUUUGCGGCUAGUCUAAGACCACCGACUCUGUCAAGCGCACGCUUGUCCCAACACAUGGACCAGACAGAGAAAAUACACUUUCAAAAAGGGUUUUAGAAAAGCAAGUAUCAAAGCUUAAAGUCUCACUUACCUCGCUAACGACAAGUUCAUCAACCUUGCAAAGUCUAGAACGCCAAUCAAACAAUCUCAAUGGCCUCAAUAUAUGCAAAAUAUUAAUUAACAAGGUUAAUUGUGCUAAUCGAGUCAAAUCUCAAUAUCCUUAAUUUUCAAGCUUAGAGUUGAAUUUUAAUAUUCCACCUAUCAAAUACCAUAUAUAUUUUUAAAGGUAAAAAUAUAUUUCAAUAUUUCAUGUGCAUAUCCAGUAUGCUAAUAUUCAUGUCCCGAAAUAAUAAUCAUAGAGUAUAAAUCGGAAACAACACAGUGGCGUAUAAAUCCAACAGUGUCCAAAACCUCUCGAAAACAUAACUGUUGGCUCAUGUUAAAAUCAGCAACUACUAUAUACAUAAUCUAAUAUUAUAUUUCAUUAUCAUUAUCAAAUCACUCAAGCUAAUCAUUAUGACUCCUAGGAAAAGGGUCAAAAUUGUGUAGUAUCAGUCGUAAUUCUUCUAAAAAAAAAUUCACAAUCAAACCUAUCCUUUAAUUGCUUAAUCUUUAAUAUGGGUUAAUGAUGACUAUAAUUUUCCAUAUGCAAAUACACCACUGUAUCGGAUGGGAGUAGAUAUACUACCAGAUUAUCCAAAUUCCUUCUACGAAAGAUUGCAUCCAUUGACCAAUUUAUAAUUCAAAUAGUAAUUGUCUUUUCAUUAUGACUACUAAGCAUUAUCAAUCAUUAGGUCGUUAAUGCCACGAUAAAUCUUACUAAAAAUAUCACAAUAAUACAUAUUCAAAGUAUAGGCUACUGAACCAAAGUAAUCUCAUUACCUGGAGCUCUAAAACUCAUGCUGCUAGCUUCCAACGCAGCCAGCGAAUUCCAGAAAGAAAAUCCUUUCCUUCUGUUGAAAUUUCCUUGUUAACAGCUAUAAGCCCUAGUAUACCUAAUGUCUGCUAGGAAAAUCUCUCGUGAGGGUGUUAAAAGGGUAGGCUUGGCCCACAUGUAUACCUUUUAA
rnacentral:lncRNA from 1 species